GCCAAUCGUGGGGGGCUUUCAAGGGAUCUAUGUCUAUAGUGGCUGAGGUUAAAUGAAGUUAACCACAAAGCUAGAGUCACCUCACCACUUCCUACUUUGUAGACUAAUAGGCUGAGCUCUGGUUUAACUUAAACUUGAGUGGUCUGGAGUGAACUCAUUCGUUCUACACCAGUUCCUCACAGAAUAUUAUAUAUUUUUUAUCAUUAUUAUUGAGAUUUUACGUGUUUUUAUUCUUUCCUUUUUUUUUUUUUUUUUUCUGAGACAGGGUCUUGCUCAGGUGCCGGGACUAGAGUGUAGUGGCGUGAUCAUGGCACACUGUAGCCCUGACCUCCCAGGGUCAAGCAGUCCUCCAGCCUCAGCCUCCCAAGCAGUUGGGACUAUAAGUGCACACCACAACACCCAGCUAAUUUUUUUUUUUUGAAGAGAUGGGGUUUUGCCAUGUUACCCAGGCUGGUUUCGAACUCCUGAGUUCAAAUAAUCUGCCUGCCUUGGCCUCCCAAAGUGCUGGGAUUACUGGCGCAAGCCACCACGCCUGACUGUUUUUAUUCUUAUUAACCAAUCUGAAAGCAAUUUACUUAAUGUCUGGCUGAACACACACACACACAGACGAUAUUCUAAUACAAAUGAACAUGCACAUGACAUGAUUUUGAGAAAUACAGGAAAGCAUAAGGAAAAAAAUCUAUAGUUAACCCAAAAAUAAAAAUUAUUAACUAUUUUGUCAAUUCUGCUAUUAAGAUCUUUAUAUAGUUGGGACUGUAUUGUAUUCACAACUUU
rnacentral:lncRNA from 10 species